rnacentral:lncRNA from 1 species
UGCAUAGCAGCUCUUAUUUUACAUACUACUACUCAUACUGAUCAAAGUCACUCAGUUGGGAUGGGUGGGAGUAGGAGGUUUGUGGGGUGGCUUGUGCGGAGGAGUUGGCAGCUUCUUUCCAGGACCUGGUUGCUUCUCUGCUGGAGUUGAAGGAGGCUUAAUCUUCCGAGGUGGCUUGUAUGAGUCUUCAGCAUUCUCAGCUGGAGGGUGACCAGGGUUGUGACCAUAAUGUGGUGGCUUCUCUCCCUUAGGUGGUUUGCCAACUGGGGUUGGUGGCUUGUAUGAGUCUUCAGCAUUCUCAGCAGGAGGGUGACCAGGGUUGUGACCAUAAUGUGGUGGCUUCUCUCCCUUAGGUGGUUUGCCAACUGGGGUUGGUGGCUUGUGUUCUGGGAGUGGCUUCUCCCCCUUGGGAGGUUUUUCCAAUGGGGUUGGUUUGUGUUCAGGAGGUGGCUUCUCCACUGGAGGCUUGUGUUCAGGAGGUGGCUUCUCCACCGGAGGCUUGUGUUCAGGUGGUGGCUUCUCCACCGGAGGCUUAUGCUCUGGUGGUGGCUUCUCGAAUGGGGGAUGCUUAGGAUAAUCAGCAAGUGAGGGGGCGGUGAGAACCACCAGGCCAAGCAACACCACUAGCAAAUAUGUAGGAGACAUCUUUGGGUUUGGGCUCAGAUGGUGCAAAACUAGGAGAAUUGGCUAGCCUUUUAUAGCGGAUCGUACCCAAUAAUGAAAUGACACGUGUCAUUAUGACCCAUGUGUAAUGGGGUCGAUUUGGGUCCUACAGUGUUGAAAACUUCGACAUCCACUUUUGGCCUUUUGCUUUCUCUACAGCCGCCUUGCUUUUUCCCUCUUUCCUUUUGUUUUCCUCCUGCCCCAUUCUAUCAACUAAACACAAUUAUGUAGUUGUUUAAUUCUUAAAUGAGAUAUUAUCCGUCAAUCGUAUUAUAUUUUAUCAAGAGAGAACGGAGUGCAAUGUGGCUGUAAUUUUAUCGUUUAGUUUUAUCUCUUGGACCACUGCAUUUUUGUUAAGAGGUGCAAUAAUACACGUCUUUAUCUGCCAUUCAAUAUUUACAGUAAAGAGAGGGCACAAAACUCUUCACUUCGCACCAUAAUUAUUUUGUUUUCUGGACACCCCGGGGCCCUUUGGUUGGUUUGGGGGUCAGAAAGUGAACAUCAUAGGGGGUUUUUCCCUUAUGUGCAUUUGUAUCUGAUGGCUUUAACUCGCCUUGUUACUACAAAGAAACUGUCACAGAUAGGAACUUAUUCCAGGCUGAGUAUCUCCUCAUAGACCCUAUAAAAGAAGACAAGUCAUAAUGAACAUCUAACCUUUGUUCAAUUUGAUUCAAUGCCCCCAUUGUGUCCAUCUCACAAAUCUGAAUUAUUAUAUCCAUUGAAUACAUAAAUUAAUGAAGAAAAUAUGAAACCCAAGAUACAUCUCUGCACAACCUCAACCCUGGUUGCUAUGUUUCCCUUCUAUUCACAUGAUUUGAUGCUAAUUGCCAAACUUGCAACAAGCCCUGAGUUUGACACCUAGUAUCGAUGGGCGAAUUUAAAGUCUCCUCCAAACAUAUAUUCCACAGCUUGAAGCUCACAGAAGAUGUUACAGGCAGGGAAAAACCUUCAGAGUUCGCUACCAAAGAUAAUUAUUAAGGAGAUAUCACAAAGAGAAUUCCAAGGGGUCUGAAUCAAAGACAAAUUGGUCGUUCGUGGGGGUUCUUACUUUCUUUUGGGUAUAACUCACUGAGGGCACUGUCUUUGUUAUUUGCAUUUCACAUUUAGAGUUCUGUUCUGGAAACAUAUAAAAGGAGCAUCAUUUUGUUCUUGGGUAACCCAUAGUCGUGAGUGGGUCCAUUUGCAUGCUACUUAGUUGAAAAGUUGGACCAUUUGCUCCGACGCCUACCUCCCGGAUUCCAUGCUCGGAUAAAACAAGAAUAAAAAAAAUAUUUAUAAUUUACAAAUGGGGGAAAGAAAAAAAUGUCAACAACAAACCAGGAAAAAAGAGUAGUAAAAUUCAUGUCACAUGCUAGUGAGAGAAGGGGUUGUUACACUCACUCGAAGUUCUUUCCAAAAUAUCGCAUGGUAUUUUAUUUUAUGUGUCAGCGCAGUUGUGAAUGGAACGUGCAAAAGUCCAAAUUGGCGUUUUUCCUUUUCCCGUGUAGGAUGGCGACCUUUAAUAAAUAUUUAAAACAAAAAACGAAAAAAAGGAGGGAAAAGGGAUCAGAAAAGAUAAAACAAUGUGUACAAGAGCUCAAUUAGUUUGCAAAUUACUGUUUGGAUUUUGAUAGUAUUUUAUUUGUCCAUCUAUAUUUGAUGGAAAAGAGAAUUUAAGAUAUUUCUGAAACAAAAGCAUUAGUGUAAAACUAAAUUAAGGUAUAAUUAAGUUAGUUCAAUGCAUUAAUUUAAGAAACUUGAUCUAUCCAAAGUACAAAAUUAGAUGAAAUCCAUUUCAAUGGUUAAAAUGAUCAAAAUCAAACUUUUUCUAAGUAUUUUUUAAAAGCAUCAAUAUUAAAAGACAAUUUUAUAUUUAGUCGGAGUUUGGACAAAACCAAAAAGCACACAAAAUCCAAGCGACCAUCUCUAGCUUGGAUAGUCACUUGAUCCCACCUAGAGAUGUGCAUGAGUAAAAGGAUUUGAAAAUGGAAAUUGACUAAAUAUUUAGUUGAUCAAUUAAAUUUGCAAUGUCAUAUGCAAUCCUAAUAGCUAGUCAUCUAAUCAAUUAGGUAGUCAAUCAAGUGUUUGUAAUGACUAUUUUGUACAAAAAACCACAUGUAUAGUUAAAUAUAAUGCAUUUCAUUUAUAAAUCUUCUAAUUCUUGAAUAACGAUCCUAUCAUCCUUUGAAAAUUUUUAUUACACCUUUUUUACUUUUGUUCUAAAACUUACAUAUCACCCUUAAUUGUACCAUGAGAACCUAGCUAUUUUUUUUUUUUUUGUAAUUCAUCAAAGUUAGCUUUUGUAUUCAUUGUUGUAUUAUUUUUAGUAUAACUUAGAAAGCUAGUGUUUUCAAGUGAGUAAAAUUAACUUGUAAAUAUUGUAAAGAUUCAUUGAUAUGUAUCUUAAACUAAGUGUACAAAUUAAAACAUUUGCUAGUAGAUUUUCUCAAAAUUUAGAAUAGAGCUUGAGGCUAUUGAAAUAGGUGGGGUUACACCAAACCACAUCACAUCGUUGUUUGCACCUUUUUUCACUCUCUUUUACUUAGUUUCUCUAUAUUUGUUGUCUAGUAAUAUCCUAUAGGCUUGAUGGGUUAGGGAGCAUCCCUUUGUGAAAAAAUUUCAUUCAAUUCUUAGUUGUAUUACGCAUAUAUAAAAUGCCUCAUUGUUUUAAUGGUAUUCAGUCGUGGCAUCACAGAUAUGGGCAUCUAAAUUUUAAAAGUUUGAAACUUUUGUAAAGCAUGUUGAUAAAAUCCAUGAGAGUUGUGUACUUGGGAAGCAACAUCGAGGUGACUUUAUUUUUUUUUCCUUUUAUAAUGCCACACCUAAGUCCGGUUUCUAAAUGCUAAAGUGAAAGGGUAGGUAUGGACCAUUGAAAUGUGAUCACAACUUUUGGCCUUUUCCUUUCUCUGCAGCCAUGUUGUCUCUUUUUUCUUUUGCAUGAUUUUCUUACCAAAACAGAAUCAUAGACUUGUUUAGUCUCUAAGCUACUAUAUUAUAUCUCGGUGGACUUUUAAGAGUGCAACCGACAUAGAGCACAUGCAAGUGGGCAUAUGGGACAUGAAAUUUCUUCUUACAAAGAUUGCAUGAUUUUUAUAUUAGAGUUGUUCACGUGCAAUGUAUUUAGCUUGUUUUGCAGUUAAAUUAAUUGGAUAAGUAAACAUUGGCAUUUCUAAAUCGACUGUGAAGUGCUUCAUGUACGUGUAAAGUAUUAGAAAUUUCUUUCUUGGCAACUUGUUUUUUCCUUGCCAUCUACUGGUAGGUUUGACUAAAAUUAUAUUCCCUGUCAUGCUAAUUAAUUUUCAUGUGCAUGCUCAAAAGAAGAGUAUGACCUUAGUGCACCAAAAUCACUUUGAUUAAUUUGUGAUAGGUUUUUUUGCAUCAUUUAGAUAAUGUUUAGUUCUAAGAAAAAUUUAUAUAAAAAUGGUUUAUUUAUCUUACAUAUAUAUAUAUAUAUAUAUAUUUUUUUUUUUUUCAUUUUUUUUUCUUCUAUUUUAUUUAUUUAUUUUAUUUUCCUUAUGUUUUCCUCACAUUUUCCGGAACUAAACAUAGUCUUACGAAAUCAACAAUUGCCUUCAACUGAGUAGAUUCUGUUGUUUUAGCAAUGUUAGGCUGCUAACUUGUGGUGGUACGAACCAAAUGACCCAUGUUAAUCUUGGCUUGGUUUGAUUUGGCUCUAUCUCAGAGAGCUAAAGGAUCACGUCAACUCUGGUUUCUACUAUUCAGGUCCAUUCCCAGAUGAACUGGUUCAAAUUUGAGAAAAUGGUAACAGACCUUUAGUGAUGUUGGUUUGGAGCCAGUUGCCAAACCCGCCCUGAGCUUUACCACUAAUGUCAAGGGAGAAAGCCAUUUGAACAAAAACAAUAGCUUCAAGAGACUGAAUCGUGGAUGAAAUCUGAUCCACAUUUCUUCUCAUUUUGGGAAAAAAUGAGAACUUAACUACAAAGAUUCUACUGCCUCAUUCAUAGUGCUUUUCCUGAUCCAAGGUUGGUUCGUUUCCCAAAUUGUGAGGUGCACGUGCCACUCUCACGCUCAGGAGUGUAUCCACGUGGUGGACAUCAGAUGGUGGCUUAAUAUCUGGUGUCGGUGGCUUUACUUUACUAGGAGAGUAGUGUGUCUUCAUCUCAUUCACUGCCGGAGGGUGGCGUAAGCAGUGACGCUAAGGUGGGGCACAGUCAAUAUCAUUUGCAUUUGACCAUUAUAGUUUUCUCCCGGCUUGAAAGUAACCUUAUCGUGAUAAAGGAUUACUAGCACUAGUUCAGAUGACCGUCAUGUUAAUUCGGACCAUGUUUGUGUCACAUUAUCAGCAACCAUGUGUUUAUGGUUCAUGCUAUCUGCAACUAAACUUGAUAUAUAACCAGGUGAACUUCAAUCAAAAUUCUGGAAGUACUCUUGUGAUAGAUGGUGCCUGUCUGCAGAGUCCAUCAAUUGAAAAAUGGAGUGAGUGUAUCUAUAAGAGGGAAGGCUUGGCAAAUGUUCAGUUUUCUGGGAAUUCAACAAGGAUCUAAAAUAGAUUGUUUUCUUUGCCGACUUCAAUGGUUGAAAUUUGAGAAGAUUGUGUCCACAUAUCACAACUAUUACUGGUCCUUCUGUUGCAAUUUAUCCUGUAAGGCUCUAACAUGUCUUCCAAUUCCCACUUCCCUGUUACUCCAGGAAAGCUAUUUCUGUCAUUGUGAAGAAGAAAAGAGAAUGUACAUAUCGAUGCUUUUAAGUGACUGGAGCAUUCAUAUCAGGUGGUCUGCAGCCAUAUAUGCCACUUUGUGAAGGUUGGAACAGUCAAUCACUAGGCUAUAUAUUGGUGUGGCCCAGCCACUUCAAUCAAGGACAAGUCUUCAUACUUAAAGUCAAAUUCUGCCUUUAGUCUCAUUAUAAAUUGCUGUUUAAAUAUUAAGCAAACUUUUGUUUAAUGCGAUUAAGACAGUACUAACUCAAUACUUGUUCUAUUUUUGGAUGCAAAUGCUUGAUGGUUUCAUCAUUGGAUGGGAUAAAGGUGCAUUCAUGAUUAUGAAUACUUGUAGUUAUAUUUUCAUUCUCUUUUUUCUCAAUGAGACUUGUUGGCACAAUGUUGCUGUUCAGAAACCUACCUCUCCAUGGAAAAUAAGUUGCGAUUGAUAGUACUGGAUAUGUUCAAGAAAGCUAAAUAUAGAUAGCACAAAAUAUUAUCGAUAUAAAUAGCAUUAACAGCGUACGUAUGUCUCAAUGCUCAUCAGCUAUAAGCAUGGGACAAACACUUACUAUGAGCAACUUACGUCAAAAUUCCAGAAUAGGACAUAGAAGUGACAGAUCUAUAUAUAUAGAACACUGCAUAUGAGUCACAAGAAAGGAAAUUACGGGUGCAUAGCAGCUCUUAUUUUACAUACUACUACUCAUACUGAUCAAAGUCACUCAGUUGGGAUGGGUGGGAGUAGGAGGUUUGUGGGGUGGCUUGUGCGGAGGAGUUGGCAGCUUCUUUCCAGGACCUGGUUGCUUCUCUGCUGGAGUUGAAGGAGGCUUAAUCUUCCGAGGUGGCUUGUAUGAGUCUUCAGCAUUCUCAGCUGGAGGGUGACCAGGGUUGUGACCAUAAUGUGGUGGCUUCUCUCCCUUAGGUGGUUUGCCAACUGGGGUUGGUGGCUUGUAUGAGUCUUCAGCAUUCUCAGCAGGAGGGUGACCAGGGUUGUGACCAUAAUGUGGUGGCUUCUCUCCCUUAGGUGGUUUGCCAACUGGGGUUGGUGGCUUGUGUUCUGGGAGUGGCUUCUCCCCCUUGGGAGGUUUUUCCAAUGGGGUUGGUUUGUGUUCAGGAGGUGGCUUCUCCACUGGAGGCUUGUGUUCAGGAGGUGGCUUCUCCACCGGUGGCUUGUGUUCAGGAGGUGGCUUCUCCACCGGAGGCUUAUGCUCUGGUGGUGGCUUCUCCACCGGAGGCUUAUGCUCUGGUGGUGGCUUCUUGAAUGGGGGAUGCUGAGGGUAAUCAGCAAGUGAGGGGGCGGUGAGAACCACCAGGCCAAGCAACACCACUAGCAAAUAUGUAGGAGACAUCUUUGGGUUUGGGCUCAGAUGGUGCAAAACUAGGAGAAUUGGCUAGCCUUUUAUAGCGGAUCGUACUCAAUAAUGAAAUGACACGUGUCAUUAUGACCCAUGUGUAAUGGGGUCGAUUUGGGUCCUACAGUGUUGAAAACUUCGACAUCCAGUUUUGGCCUUUUGCUUUCUCUACAGCCGCCUUGCUUUUUCCCUCUUUCCUUUUGUUUUCCUCCUGCCCCAUUCUAUCAACUAAACACAAUUAUGUAGUUGUUUAAUUCUUAAAUGAGAUAUUAUCGGUCAAUCGUAUUAUAUUUUAUCAAGAGAGAACGGAGUGCAAUGCAGCUGUAAUUUUAUCGUUUACUUUUAUCUCUUGGACCACUGCAUUUUUGUUAAGAGGUGCAAUAAUACACGUCUUUAUCUGCCAUUCAAUGUUUACAGUAAAGAGAGGGCACAAAACUCUUCACUGCUCUGCAUGUGUCCCAAAAAUGCGAUUGGACAAAUUAUGAUUUGCAUGCUAAAAAGAGGCAAAUGAGGUUAAUUCGCACCAUAAUUAUUUGGUUUUCUGGACACCAUAAAAAGAUGUUAUACAGGCAGGGAAAAACCUUCAGAGUUAGCUACCAAAGAUAAUUAUCAAGCAGAUAUCACCAAGAGAAUUCCAUAGAGUCUGAAUCAAAGACAGAUUGCUCGCUCGUGGGGGUUCUUACUUUCUUUUGGGUAUAACUCACUGAGGUCACUGUCUUUUUUAUUUGCAUUUCACAGUUAGAGUUCUGCUCUGGAAGGUUUGUUCUGGAAACAUAUAAAAGGAGCAUCAUUUUGUUCUUGGGUAACCCAUAGUCGUGAGUGGGUCCAUUUGCAUGCUACUUAGUUGAAAAGUUGGACAAUUUGCUCCGACGCCUACCUCCUGGAUUCCAUGCUCGGUAAAACAAGAAUAAAAAAAAAUAUAUAAUUUACAAAUGGGGGAAAGAAAAAAUGUCGGAAAAAAUAGUAAAAUUCAUGUCACAUGCUAGUGAGAGAAGGGGUUGUUACACUCACUCGAAGUUCUUUUCAAAAUAUCGAAUGGUAUUUUACUUUAUGUGUCAGCGCAGUUGUGAAUGGAACGUGCAAAAGUCCAAAUUGGCGUUUUUAUUUUUCCCAUGUAGGAUGGUGACCUUUAAUAAAUAUUUAAAACAAAAGACGAAAAAAAAAAGGAGGGAAAAGGGAUCACAAAAGAUAAAAUAAUGUUUACAAAAGCUCAAUUAGUUUGCAAAUUACUGUUUGGAUUUUGAUAGUAUUUUAUUUGUCGUUCUAUAUUUGAUGUAAAAGAGAAUUUAAGAUAUUUCCGAAGCAAAAGCAUUAGUUUGCUCUGUGAUGUCCCACAUCGAAUAGGGGAGAAAGUUUCUGGCGCUAUAUAUGUAGAGGCUCCUCUUAACCAAGUAGAUGCGUUUUAAAACCAUGAGGGCCCCCUUAGGUCCAAAGCGGACAAUAUCUACAUGAUUGGGUGUAAGUCAUUACAAAUGGUAUCAGAGCCGAUCCCCGACCCCGGUGUGGGGGUUUGUUUGGCCCUGUAAGGGGUGUUUGUCUGUUUGACCCCACAAUCCCAUGGGACACAACGAGGACGUUGUGUCUGCAUGGGGGGGCGUUUGUGAUGUCCCACAUCGGAUAGGGGAGAAAGUUCCUAGUGCUAUAUAUGUAGAUGUUUCUCUUAACCAAGUAGAUGCAUUUUAAAAUUGUGAGGGCCUCUUUGGGCCCAAAGCGGACAAUAUCUACAUGGUUGAGUGUAAGUCAUUACAUGCUCCAUGUCAAUUUCAGCAUUUCUCAUAUGUUUCACACAUACACAGAAGAGCAUCGUUUUUUAAAGCAUGCAUUUAUGUUGGAUUAAUUUGGAUUUUGUGGGAACUGGGGCAAGGAUCACAUGGAAGAGAGGUUGACUUUUUUCAGUACUUCAAUGGUUGAAAUAUGUGAAGGCUUGAUUGAUACUAAAGCUUGAAAUUGCGACUCUGUCAUUUGUAAAAAAAUAUGACAGCUUCCAUGCUCUCGUUUGGUUGCAUUGUCCGGUCGAGAGGUGCAAAAAGCAUUCUCUCUCUUCUAAUAGUCUUUUCGUUUAAAUCAAGGGAUUUGCCUUCCCGGUCGAGGUCCAAUAGAGGGUAACGGUCACCUACUAAACAUUAAAUGCUCCAACAACUAGUGAACUGAUCGACCCCAGCUCGACUAGUUGAGGUUACUUUUUGGUUUUCUUGUCUCCCGAGGUUAGAAACCUAUAAAUAGAGAGCUUCACUUCAUUUAUGAGUAAGAGAACACCUAAAUUUAUUUGUUUACCUACUUGUUUUUGCCAUAAAAGCUCUCAUUUCUUUUCUUGGUGUAUUAAAUCUCCAUUUGCAUAUCCUUUAGUGCACCUUUGUGAUUCAUUCUAGCCUUGAGUUGUAUUUAAGCCUUUGUUGAGCUAGGUUGAGAGUUUCAUACUUGUUUAUUGAGUGUUAAAGCCUUCAAGUGAGUUAAAACUUGAAGAGAUUGUGUAAGAGCCCAUUGGAGUCGGAAUCCAAGUGUAAAGGUGAUUAAAAGCUUGGUUGAAGCUUCAAGUUAGUGGAACUCUCACUCGGUUAUGAGCUUGAGAAGAGUGGACAUAGACAAGGCAGUGUCGAACCACUAUAAAAUCUGAGUUUGAUUUCUCUAACCUUAUCUCUUUAUAUUUGCUUCUCUUGUGCUUAAAUUUUUUGUGUUUAAAAAGAAUUUUUAAAAACUCAAUUCACCCCCUUCUUGGGAGUUUUUCUCUUUUAAGAUCAGCUUUUAUUUUCUCAAUUGGUAUCAGAACUAUGCCUCUUGUUUAAGACUUAAUCGUCUAAGAGGAAAUGGCUAAUCCAUCAAGUUCAUCUCACAUUGAAAGUUUUGCAACCAAUAGACUUCUUUUUUUUUUUUUGCGGGAACUGAUUAUCCCUAUUGGAAAACUAAAAUGACUUGGUUUUUACAAUCAAUUGAUUUAGAUGUAUGAGAUGCCAUUGAAGAUGACCUAACUUUUCCUUCAAAACUAGUUGAUGGAGUCAUGGUUCCAAAACCUAAGCAAGAAUGGGAUGAGCGUGAUUGAAGAAAUUUUCAAUUAAAUGCUAAAGUCGUUUAUACUUUGCAAUGCUCUAUGGACAGAAAUGAAUAUAAUAGAAUAUGUCAAUGCAAAUCGGUUAAAGAAAUUUGGAGAUUGCUUGAAAUAACUCAUAAAGGAACAAAUCAAGUUAAAGAGUCAAAAAUCAAUUUACUUGUUCAUAGAUAUGAAUUGUUUUUUAUGAAAGAUAAUGAAACUAUUGUUAAGAUGAUCACUAGGUUCACCAACAUUGUUAAUGGUCUUAAAGCCUUGGGAAAGACCUACAAGGAAUCCGAAAACGUGAUGAAGAUCUUGAGGUCACUUCCAUCAAAGUGGCAUACCAAGGUCACCGCAAUUUAAGAAGCAAAAGACUUGAUCAAGCUACCUUUGGAGGAGUUCAUAGGGUCAUUGAUGACAUAUGAAAUCAAUUUGGCAAAGAAGUAACAAAAAGGUGAAGACAAAAAGAAGAAGAACAUAACUCUCAAAGCUACAACUAAGGAAGAAGAAGUUGAAGAAGAAAAACAAAUUGAAGAAGAUGAAGAUUUAGCCCUCAUCACAAGAAAGUUCAACAAAUUCAUGAGGGGUGAAAGGUUUAGAAGAAGAAGGUUCACUUCUAGAAGAGACUUUUCUAAAAAGGAAUCUUCAUCUAAUGGUGACAAAAAGAGAUGGGAAGAGAAAAGAGACUUGGUGUGUUUCAAGUGCAAGAAACCGGGACACAUUAAAUAUGAUUGUCCUCUCUACAAAAGUGAAGUCAAGAGGAAAAAGAAUAAGGCAAUGAUGGCCACUUAGAGUGAAAGUGAAGAUGAAUCAUCCGAAGAAGAAAAUGAGAAAGAAGUGGCAAACAUGUGUUUCAUGGCAAUAGAUGAACUUGAUGAGGUAAAAUCUAACCUUAGUGAUUAAGAUAUACAUGAUGCAUUUGAAGAAUUGUAUGAGGAUUUUUAAAAACUUAGUUUGAAAAAUAUUUCUCUUAAAAAGAAAGUUCAACAACUUGACAAAGAACUUAGAGAAGUAAAAGAAAAAUUUUCAAAUGUUAAAGUUUCUAAAACUCAUCUUGAAAAAGAAAAUGAGAUUCUAAGAAAGAAAAAUGAAUAGUUGAACUCCUCUCUUUCAAUCUUUUCUUCUAGACAAAAAUCUUUUGAAAUGAUUCUAACUAGCUAAAAAUGUGUUUUUGACAAACAAGGGUUAAGAUUUAAAUCUUCAAAAAAUCAAAAGUAUUUUAAAAACUAUUUUGUAAAGGAAUCCACAAGUGCAAGUCCUUCCACUACUUGCAACUUUUGUGGAAGAGAAUGGCACAUUAGUAGUACGCCCUUUAAGAAAUGGUUCUCAAAAGAAUUUAAAUGCAAAAACUAAAAAAGAUUUGGAUUGAGAAAUCCAAGGUCACUAACCCUCAAGGACCCAAAAAGAUAUAGGUACCUAAAUCAACUUGAGUUUUAUGUUGUAAGGUUCAAAGAAUGAUAAGUGGUUCUUAGAUAAUGGUUGCUCAAGACACAUGACCGGAGAUGAAUCCAAGUUUGCUUUUCUUAAAAAGAAAAAUGGAGGAUAUGUUACCUUUGGAGACAAUGCAAAAGAAAGGAUGAUUGGUCAAGGCAACAUUGGUAAUGGCACAUCCUCUCUCAUUGAAAGUGUUUUAUUAGUAGAUGGUUUCAAACAUAACCUUUUAAGCAUUAGUCAAUUUUGCGACAAAGGUUUUUAAGUGAUUUUUUAAGCAUCUCAUUGCAUCAUCAAGGAUAUUCAAAAUGAUAAAACCAUUUUCAUGGGCCAUAGAUGUGAUAAUGUUUAUGCUAUAAAUAUUUCAAAAUAUGAUGGCCAUGAUAGAUGUUUUUCAAGCAUGCAUGAUCAAAGUUGGUUGUGCCAUAGGAGAUUGAGACAUGCUAACAUAGACCUCAUUUCCCAACUCAACAAAGAUGAACUUGUUAGAGGCCUUCCCAAAAUAAUUUUUUAAAAAGAUAAAGUUUGUGAAGCUUGUCAAGUGGGAAAGUAAAUCAAAAACUCUUUUAAAAACAAAAACUUCAUUUCCACAUCUAGGCCACUUGAGUUGUUGCAUAUGGAUUUAUUUGGUCCCUCUAGGACACCAAGUCUUAGAGGAAAUUCUUAUGCAUAUGCUAUUGUGGACGACUUCUCUAGAUACACAUGAGUCUUGUUUUUUAGUCAAAAGAAUAAAGUUUUUUAUGAGUUUUCAAAGUUUUGCAAUAAGAUUCAAAAUGAAAAAGGUUUUUCAAUUACUUAUAUAAGAAGUGAUCAUGGGAGAGAAUUCGAAAAUAUUGAUUUUGAAGAGUAUUGCAAUGAGCAUGGAAUUGACCACAAUUUUUUGGCUCUUAGAACUCCUCAACAAAAUGGGGUAGUUGAAAGGAAAAAUAGAACUCUUCAAAAAAUGACAAGAACCAUACUAAAUGAAAACAACUUACCAAAAUAUUUUUAGGCCAAAACGGUUAACACUUCUUGUUAUGUUUUAAAUAGAGUAUUAUUGAGGCUCAUACUUAAGAAAACUCCCUAUGAGCUUUGGAAAAACAAAAAACCCAACAUUAGUUAUUCCAAAGUCUUUGGAUGCAAUAUUUUAUAAUAAACACCAAAGACAAUCUUGGAAAAUUUGAUGCAAAAUUGGAUGUUGGAAUUUUCCUUGGUUACUCAACUUCAAGUAAAGCUUUUCGAGUUUUAACAAAAGAACCAUGGUUGUAGAGGAGUCCAUCCAUGUUAUUUUUUAUGAAUCUCCAAGAAAGAGAGAGGAUUGAUGAUGAUUUAGGUUUGAAGACCUCUAUAGGAAGAUUGCAAAUCGAAGAUAGAAGACAACAAGAAGAAAAUGGAGAGAAUCCAAAGAAAGAAGGAUCACCAUUGGCACUACCCCCUCAUCAACAAGCGCAAGGUGAAUCAAGUCAAGAGCUUCCUAAAGAAUGGAAGUUUGUCAUCAAUCACCCACAAGAUCAAAUUAUAGGCAAUCCAUCUAGUGGGGUAAGAACUAGAUCCUCUCUUAGAAAUAUUUGCAAUAAUCUAGCUUUUAUCUCUCAAAUUGAGCCUAAAAAUAUAAAUGAUGUUUUAGAUGAUGAAAAUUGGAUAAUUGCAAUGCAAGAAGAGUUAAAUCCAUUUGAAAGAAGUGGAGUAUGGGAAUUAGUACCAAGACCUUCAAAUCAAAGUGUUAUUGGAACUAGAUGGAUCUUUAGAAAUAAAAUGGAUGAAAAUAGCAUAAUUGUUAGAAAUAAAGCAAGAUUGGUAGCCCAAGGUUUUAAUCAAGAAGAAAUGAUAGAUUAUGAAGAAACCUUUGCCCCCGUAGCUAGGUUGGAAGCCAUUAGGAUGCUACUUGCCUUUGCAUGUUUUAAAGACUUUGUUUUAUAUCAAAUGGAUGUGAAAAGUGCUUUUUUAAAUGGUUUUAUAAAUGAAGAAGUAUAUGUUGAACAACCACCCGGUUUUCAAAGUUUCAACUUUCCUAACCAUGUUUUUAAACUUAAAAAGACACUUUAUGGUUUGAAACAAGCACCUAGAUCAUGGUAUGAAAAAUUGAGUAAAUUUCUUUUGAAAAAAAUGUUUUAAAAUGGGAAAAAUUGACACAACUCUUUUUAUAAAAACCAAAGAAAAUGAUAUGCUCUUAGUUCAAAUAUAUAUUGAUGAUAUCAUUUUUGGUGCUACUAAUGUCUCUCUUUAUGAAGAAUUUUCUAAGUGCAUGCAUAGUGAGUUUGAAAUGAGCAUGAUAGGAGAACUCAACUUCUUCCUUGGACUUCAAAUCAAGCAACUAAAGGAAUGAACCUUCAUCAAUCAAGCAAAGUAUAUAAGAGAUCUUCUCAAAAGGUUCAACAUGGAAGAAGCCAAAACAAUGAAGACUCUAAUGAGCUCAUCCAUUAAGCUUGAUAAGGAUGAGAAAGGUAAAUCCAUUGACUCUAUUAUGUAUAGAGGCAUGAUAGGUUCUUUGCUCUAUUUGACCACUAGUAGACCUUACAUUAUGUAUAGUGUGUGUUUGUGUACUAGAUUUCAAUCUUGUCUUAAAAAAUCUCACUUAAGUGUCGUGAAAAGAAUCCUCAAAUAUUUGAAAGGGACAAUGGACAUAGGCUUAUGGUAUCCUAAGAGUGAUAACUUUGAAUUAAUUGGUUUUUUGGAUGCUGAUUUUGUCAGUUGUAGGGUUGAAAAAUAAAACACUAGUGGCACUUUUCAUUUCUUAAGACACUUACUUGUCUCAUGGCAUAAUAAGAAGCAAAAUUUGGUAGCUUUGUCAACAGCAGAAGCUAAAUACAUAGCAACUGGUUUAUGUUGUGCACAAAUCCUUUGGAUGAAAUAAACACUUAGUGAUUUUGAUUUAUCUUUUGAGCAUAUUCCUAUUAAAUGUGAUAAUAGUAGUGCCAUAAGUAUAUCAAAAAAUCUCGUGCAACACUCUAGGACUAAGCAUAUAGAGAUUAGACAUAAUUUUCUUAGAUAUCAUACACAAAAGGAUGAUAUAACACUUGAAUUUGUAAGCAUAAAAGACCAACUUGCCGAUAUCUUUACAAAACCUCUAAGAACAUUUUGUUGAUAUUAGAGGACAAUUAGGAGUGAUUUCUUUAUGAUCUAAUGUGAUGAAUUCUUGAUGAAUAUACUUUUUGAUUGCAUGAAUUUCAUGUCAUAUAUGCAUCAUAUAGAAAUAUACUUAGAUAAUGGUCAAAUUUCGACCAAAAAUCAAAAUUCCCAUGGCAUUAGGCAUAAAAAUUUUGGAAUUUCAACUGAAAAUGGUAGGAGGAGGAUCACAAAAUGAGAAAGUAUGCAAAAAUUGAAAAAUCAAAACGUUGACCAAGCGGUCAAUCGGACUAGACCGAUCGACUAGUUUGUCGAGAUUUAGGAUUUUUAAGAGACUCCAACGCUUCAAUUUUUGCACCGUUCUCCUCUAUUUCUUCACGGUUUCUCUGAUUUUGUCUUUUAGAGACUAAUUUGAGUGCGUUUUGGAUCAAUUGAAGCAUUUUGGAUUGGAUUUUAGGAAGAUUGAAAGUUAAGGUUUCGGAUUUGGGUCGCCUUCUCUUCCUCUCGCGUGUCACAAUCAGCUUUAGCAUUGUUCUCUUUCCAUUUUCACACACCUAGGGUUUCAGUUGUGAGCAUCUCUCUCUCUUUACCAACCACUACUCCCUUGCUUCUUCCAUAUGGCUCCUAGGCGAGAGUCCGCUACUUCUAGGGCACAAGGCAAGCACCCAACUGAGUCGUCUCAGUCAAAGGCACGUCGAAAAGUGAGAUUUGACAUUGCCUUGUUCAGUUCCAUGGAGGACUACCAACUAUACAAGCAACACUUUGCUUAGAGACGAGUAGUUCCCAAGAGAAAUAUUAAUUUUCCUCAACUUCAGCAUUUCGAAUUUAAGGGUCUAUUUACUAGGAUGGUUGGUUGUCUAUUGUCACAAUUUCGGAGCCGGUUUUCCUGACCUUAGUGCGAGUUUUUUACUCGAGGGCGACUUAUGGCAUGGGUGGCAUGAUCAUUUCUACUGUUGGAGGAGUUGAGAUCUGUCUGGACCCAGAGAGCAUCUGCCAUAUUUUCGAUAUUGCUCUGGUUGGACUCAAAGUAUACAAGUCCAAAAUGUGGCCCAUUGUGCCAGGAUUUGAGCUUAGAGAGGUCAUUCAGAGGAUUUGUGAACUUCCAGACGCCCAGGAGAUGGGCAAACCAUUGCCACACAGUUUGACGGUCAUCAACAGGGUGCUACACCAUAUAUUGUGCUCUAUCUUUCUACCACGAAGUGGACAUUGAGAUGAGGUCUCUUAUUAUGAGGCAUUCCUUAUUGACUCCAUUCUAACGGAGAGACGAAUUCAUCUACUAUGUCAUCAUUCACUAAGCCUCCUCACAGUGACAUACCACCUCAUCAGGCACCUCUUGCUCCUGACCAUGCUCCAUUGAUGGAUUUAUUUACUCAUAUUAGCUCUCUAGGCACUCGCAUGAAGGAGUUUGUUGUAGUUAGUGAUACAUGGUUCUACUCCAUAGAGGAUCGCAUGGAUCAGUAUCAGACUGGCUUCACGUCACAGUUUGAGUAUCUCCAAUAGAGGAUUGAGCAUAUUGAGGAUCACUUGAGCAUGAGAAGAUGAUGGCUUUUCUAUGCUCUGUGUUUCCACCUCCACCUCGUCAACCUUGAUUUCUUAGAGACCCAUUGUUUUCAUUUUGUAAUGUUGCCAAAAGGGGGAGAUAUUUAGGAUCUAGGACUCUAUAGGAGACUUACAUGCAUAUCAUUUUCAUAUCAUUGUUUGGAUCGUACAUAUUGGAUAGUGAUACUUUUUACUUAUAUAUGAUAUGCCUAUAUGUUUCAUGUCUUACAUUGUUUCUUAUUGCAAAUUAUCUCUAACAUGUCUUGAUUAUCUUUUUUUUAACUUCAUAAAUUUUGAUUGUUAACCCAUGAUUGGUUUGAGGGGAAGAUUCUUCUUCUCCUAGAUAACCAAGGUUUGUCAUCAUAAAAAAAUUGGAGAUUGUUAGCCCAAGGGUUCUCCUAAUCAUGUUUUGAUGAUAACAAACCAUGCUUAAGUUACUAAUUGGUUUGAAUUAUAAAGAAUUUCAAGUGUUAAUUUGAAAAUUCAUCAAAGAACCUAAUGGAUGCAAGAUCAAGAUUUUUGGAAGACCUUUAAUCAUAAGAAACAUAUGUAAGAUGAAUGCAUGGGUGCACUUAAGAUUUGCAUAUCAUUUCAUGCAUAUUUGGAAAACACGGUUUAUGCUUUAAAGUUACAUUUCCAUCAAAAUUUGAGAUCCAUCAAAUGAACCUUAGGAAAAAUGUUUUAAAAUUGGCAUAUAAUUUUACCUAAAGACCUUGCCUAAGUGUUAGAAGCAAAAGGACAAAAAAAAUAUAGGUUUUCUGGUCAAAAAUGGUGAACCAGUCAAGGCAUUGUCUAAAUCAGCUCAAUCGGCCAAGGUACCGGUCGAUCGGUUUCCCUUUCCCUGUCGAGAUCUAGUCAAGAGGUACAAAAAUCACAAUCUCUGUCUCUUUCUCUCUUUGUCUAUCUUCCAGUAGUCUUUCCUUCCCGGUCGAGGGAUUUGCCUUCCCGAUUGAGGUCCGAUUGAGAGUAAUAGUCACUUGCCAAAUAUUAAAUGCUCCAACAGUUAGUGAACUGGUCGACCCCCACCUUGCCCAGUUGAGGUUACUUUUUGGUUUUCUUGGCUCCCGAUGUUAGAAACCUAUAAAUAGAGAGUUCCACUUCAUUUAUGAGCAAGAGAACACUUGCAUUUAUUUGUUUACCUACUUGUUCUUGCCUUAAAAGCUCUCAUUUCUUUUCUUGGUGCAUUAAAUCUCCAUUUUGAUAUCCUUUAGUGCACCUUUGUGAUUCAUCUUAGCCUUGAGUUGUAUUUGAGCCCUUUUUUUAGCUAGGUUGAGAGUUUCAUACUUGUUAAUUGAGUGUUAAAGCCUUCAAGUGAGUUGAAACUUGUAGAGAUUAUGUGAGAGUCGAUUGGAGCCGAAAUCCAAGUGUAAAGGUGAUUAGAAGCUUGGUUGAAGCUUCAAGUUAGUGGAAUCCUCACUCAAUUAGGAGCUUGAGGAGAGUGGACGUAGCCAAGGAAGUGUCGAACCACUAUAAAAUUUGAGUUUGAUUUCUCUAACAUUGUCUCUUUAUAUUUGUUUAUCUUGUGCUUAAAUUUAUUGUGUUUAAAAAGAAUUUUUAAAUACCCAAUUCACCCCCCUCUUGGGUGUUUUUCUCUUUUAAAAUUAGCCUUUAUUUUCUCACAAACUAUUGUAGUAUAGUGGUUUUUAGGUGUCAUCCAUUAGGAUGAAUUGUUCUCGGUAAUUAAGGCGUGAAUGAGAGGAGAAUUAAUGAUUGUGAUUAAGUAAAAUUGAUUUGAAAAUUCAUGGUGAAAAAUCAAUUUAACAAUGGUUUCUAAUUGAGAAAAACAAUGAAAUGUGAAAUAAAAUAAAAUUAAUAGGAAAUGAAAUUCUCGAAGUUAGAAUUUUCUAAAAAACAAAUUCCAUGGUGAAUGGAUGUUGAGAUCUAAUUUUCAUCAAGUUAGAUUGAAAACCGAAAUUUUCAUAUAAACUGAUUUUUUAUUUAGUUUUAGGUCUAGAUUUAAUUUCCCUUAAAAUUAGGUUAUUUAAUCCAAGAAAUCAAUUCAAAUCAUAUAUUCAAUUCAUCUUAAAUUAUCUUCCAAUUAUUCACACAAUGCAACUAUUCAAUCUCAUCAAAUCUAGCUUUUAAGAAUUUAAUGAAUCUACCUAGUUUGCAUUGUAAUAGUCAUCCAUGACAAUUUGAAGAGAAAAAUAAUUCAAUUAAUCAAUCACUUGGAUCAAAUUACCUUUGCAAUUAAAGUUCAUUUCUCUAAUUCACCACAGAUUUUGUCUCUAGAUCCUCCUUUCUCAAAGAAAAAUGAGAUUUAGCCACACAUGAUUGGAGAUUUGGUCUCAUAAGGCAUGUUUAGCUAGUGAUAAAAUGAGAGAAAAUAAAGAAAAAUAGAGAAUUCGAUUAAGAAAGAAAAUCUAAAAAAUUCUACAAUUAGAAAUGUCCAAAAAGCUUUUUCAUGAGAAAAUCAAGUUUCUAUUUAUAGGCCAAGGUCAAGUGGACACUUGACAUCAUCUAAGAGGUCUUCCGGAAGCUUCUUCAUCAAGAAAUCUGGAGUUUAAUAAUAAAAUGGUCAUUUCACAAGAGCUCAAACAAUUUCGCAUGAUUAUGUGAAAUAAAAAAUGCAACAACAGCAAUUUACAUCUUCUUGGAGCAUUUCGCAUGACUGUGUGAAAUUUUCACAUGAUCAUGUGGAAUCGACUUGACAACUCUCAUUUAGCCUACAACAUAAUUCCACCUUUUGGUCCAUUUUUCAUAGUCAUGCGAAAUGGAAAUAUUUGAUUUUUAAGUUUUCUUUUGUCAUUUCUUUCAUUUCCUUCUCUUGAUUCCACUUCAACUACCUCCGAAUCCUGGUCCAAACCAAUUGCAUUACUUCUUUCAUUAUGCAUUUGGAUCAUCAUCAACAUUAUUUGUUCUCUUCAAUUUGAUUCAUCUCUUUUGUCACCAAUUUAUCAAAAUCAUACCUUGAAAUGACUCCAAAACUUCAUAAAACUUGUUAGUAACUCUUGCAAGGGCAACAACAUAUUAAUUAAGUGUUUUAGGCAUAGUUACUACUCAAAAGAUGCGAAACUCAUGAUAAUUAUUAUAUAAAAUAUGCUCUUUUUGAGUAGUAAUCAACUUUCUUGCAUAAGCAGACCUUUUAGGGUGGAGUACUAAAGACCAAUAUGCUUGUCCUUGUUGUAAUAAAGAAACUUGCUCUUAUUGAUUGCACCAUGGGAGAAAAUUUUGCUACAUGAGUUAUCAUCAAUUUCUUCCCACCAAUCAUAGAUUUAGACGUGACAAGAGGCCUCUUAAUGGCAAGGAGGAACUGACACUCACACUUAUACAAUUAUCGGGCAUUGAUGUGUUGCAACAAUUAGAAUAACUUACACCAAUUAUGUUGGGGAAGUCACAAAAGGCAAACAUGAAAACUAAAAGGAAAAAAGAAAAAUGUUACAUAUCACCACAACUGGAAAGAAAAAAGUAUUUACUUUCAUUUGCCAUAUUGGAAAGCACUUAUUUUACAUCAUAAUAAUUUAGACAUAAUGCAUAUUGAGAAAAAUGUGUGACAAUAUAAUUGAGACAUUGUUCAGUAUUGACGAAGAAACAAGGACAACCUAAAUAGUCAUCUCGAUUUACAAGCUCUAACUAUUAGAAAUGAGAUUCACCCAAUAGAAAGCAGGACCAAAUUUAUUUUGCUUGCAACAUGCUACUCACUCACCCCAAAUGAGAUUAAGGAAUUUUGCAAGUUUUUGAAAUCAAUAAAGGUCCCCAAUGGCUAUUCUUUCAAUAUCUCUCGUUAUGUGCAACUCAAUGAAAGGAAGAUAUAUGAGCUCAAAUUGUAUGAUUGUCAUGUCCUAAUGCAACAACUUCUCUCACUUGUAGUUCGUGGAGUUCUACAUAAGAAUGUUUGUGGAGUUAUCAUAGAAUUGCGUAAUUUUUUCAAGCAAUUGUGCUCAAAGGUGUUAGAAACAAAUCACUUACACCAACUUGAGAACAAUAUUAUUGUCAUACUAUGUAAAAUGGAGCAAAUAUUUCUUCCAUCAUUCUUUGAUAUUAUGGUGCAUUUACUUGUGCAUCUAGUAAGGCAAAGGUUGCAAGACUUGUGCAAUAUUGUUGGAUGUACCUAAUUGAACGAUAUUGUUAUAAUUUCAUAUGAAUCAUUUAAUUUUAUUUUAUAUUAUGUUCAGUUCAUUAACAUGUACAUUGGUCUACAUAUGGAUGAUGAUAGGUACCUAAGCACUUUAAAGUCAUAUGUGCGUAAUAGAACUUUUCUAGAAGGUUCUAUUGUAGAAAGGUACCUUGCAAAAGAAUGUACAACAUUUUAUUCUAGGUACUUGAAUGAUGUGGAAAUAAAGUAUAAUCACAAUGAUAGAAACUUUGUUGGUUUCAACACUAGAGGAGAUGAAAGGGGUUAUCUUUAAACAUAUUGGACAUGCAUUGGGAAAGCCCAUAUUUCAUUAACUUAGUUCAAAAGAGUGGUCACAAGCACAUUUAUAUGUGUUGACAAAUUGCGAAGAUGUCAUACCAUUCAUUGAGUAAAAAAUUUAUUUGAAUUUUAAUUAAAGCUCUAGUUUAUAUCCUUAAUCAAUGUUUUUUAAAUUCACAAGGAGCACAAGCAAACCAUCAAGGCUAGACCACAUAUACGUGUUUGAGACGUAGAUUUAAUUCAUAACAAGGAAUUUAUCAAGUGGUUUGAAAGACAUGUAAGUAUAUUCCUUAUUAUAAGGGAUUUAUUUCACAUUAUGUUUAUAUUGAAUCCAAACCUAUUAUUGAAUUGUAGGUUGAACAAUUACAUAAUGAAGGUCAUAUAUCUGAACACCUUCUCACAUUAUCAUGUGUUCCAAAUUCAUUAGUUACAUGCUUCAAAUGAUAUAUUGUCAAUGGAUUUAGAUCCCACAUUAAAGAACGUGAUAAAAAAGUUUUUAAAAAAAGACUCAGAAUAAUGGAAUUGUUGUAGUUGCAAAAACGUCAAGCUUUACAAGUGCAUGUGAUAUGAGUCCAAUUAUUAGUGAUGCUCUCUACUAUGGUGUUCUAACUAAAGUUGUUGAGUUACAUUAUCUUGGUGAAAAUAAGGUUGUUUUAUUCGAGUUUGAUUGGUGGGAUGUUACAAAUAUUGGAAAAUUGAUAAAAGAUGAUGAGUACAAUUACACAUUUGUUAACUUUGCAUGAAUUCUAACCACGAACGAACGAUUUGUACUUGCAUCUCCAGCAAAGUAAGUGUUCUAUGUGAAGAAUGCGAAUGAAUCAGAUUGGCAUACUAUCAUGGAGAUGCAACCUCAAGACCUCUAUAAGAUGAACGGGAUAGGAUCCAAUGGUGAUUUUGAACCAUUUCAACAAAGUGAACUACAUGAUCACUAAUAUAUCUCAGAUUUAGUUGAUGAAGAUAUAAUCAAGUGGAACAAAAGUGAUGUUUUAGGACUAAUCAUCCUAAAAAAUAUUGUAGUUUCUUAAAAAAAAAAUGAAAAUGAAGAAGAUAAUUGAACCUUUGUCAUACUUUAAAAAGCAACUAUGCAUUGUUCAUUUUGUAUGUUUUGGUUUUCUUCAUUUAAUUUCCUGAUUUUUGUGAUUCAAUGUCAUAUUAUUGAUCUUGAAAUAUUUUUCUAAUUUUUCAUUCUACGAUGGUUUCAACAAGGAUGACAUCAAGUCAAAAAAGGAAAUGUGGUCCCACACACAAUAUUGCAUUACAGGGAUUAAGGUCAGGGAAGAAGGUAAAAGUUGCAUUUAAUGAGUACAAUCAAUUGGUUAAACAGAAAAAUGGAAAACACUUAUCGAGCUACAUAGGGACACUUGUAUCUAACCAACACAAUGUACCUCUCCAAGCUAGUGAUUGGAAAAAUGUUCCAAAUGAUGCAAAAGAGAAAGUAUGGCCUUUGUUUUGGUAUGUUGUAUUUCUCACUAUAUGAUGUCAUUUCACUGUUAUUCUAUUUUGUGACUAACGUUUGAAUCAUAUGUAAGAAAAAUUUGAAGUAGAUAAAGACUGAAAAGAUUACAUGUUGGGUAUAGCCUCAAAUAAAUAUAGAAGCUAUAAAAAUAUGAUGAAUGCAAAAUACUAUGACCCUUGGCAUAAGGAUGCAUGAGGAGAGGUUAAUACAUAAAUCACCAUUUGUCUCUGAUGUUGAUUGGAAGUGGCUUGUCUCUGAUGCAUAAACCAAAUCCCCCACUGAAUGUUUGAUAUUUGAUAGCAGGAAAAACACACCCGCAGCUAUACACCUCCAUCAUUCAGAUAAUUAUAGUGGGGGAGAUGAUUCAUGGUUGCCCUUAUACCCUUUAUUUGCACCAUCUAUUGAGAUUCUUUAUCAUGGCCAGGUUUUACUGCAGCAAUAAGAUAUGGUGGCAACAAUUUUAUCUAUAGGUGCGGUUCCAGACCGCCUCCAUAGGUGCGGUUCCUGACUGCCUCCAUAGGUGCCUCUUCUUGUAAUGUUUGUUCUGGGAAUUACACUUGAAAGCCUUAUCGUGAUAAGGGAUUACAAACACUAGUUCAGAGGACAGCCAUGUUAAACUUCCACUAUGUUUGUGUCACAUUAUCAGCAGCCUAGUGUUUAUUGGUCAUGCUAUCUGCAACUAAUAUAACCCGGUGAACUUCAAUCUAAAUUCUGAAAGUACUCAUGUGACAGAUGGUGCCUUUCAGCAGAUAUCAUCAAUUUAAAAGUAGUGUGUGUGCCUAUAGGUGGGAAGGCCUUGGCAAAUGUUCAGUAUUCCGGUAAUUCAAGAAGGAUAUAUCUAAAAUAGAUUUUCUUCUUGCCCAUUUCAAUAGUUAAAAUUUGAGAAGAUUGUGUCCACAUCACACAAAUAUUAUUGGUCCUUCUGUUGCAAUUUACCUCUGAACAUGUCUUCCAAUUCCCACGGUCCUGUUACUCCAGGAAAACUAUUUCGGUCAUAUUGAAAAAAAAAAUAUUAAAGAAGGUACACAUGCUUUUAAGUGGACUGGGGCAUUCAUAUCAGGUGGUCUGUAUCCACAUAUGCCACUUCGUGAAAGGUGGAACAGCCUAAUCACUAGGCUAUUUAGUGUGGCCCAGCCACGUUAAUCAAGCACAAGUCUUCAUACUUAAAGUCAAAUGGUGUCUUUAGUCUCAUUACACAUCGCUAUUUGAAGAUUAACUCAUCACUAGUGUAAUGCGAUUAAGACAGUCCUAACUCAAUAUUUGUUCUAGUUUUGGAUGCAAAUGCUUGCUGGUUUCAUCAUUGGAUGGGAUAAAGGUGCAAUCAGGACUAUGAAUACGUGCAGUAAUACUUCAUUCUCUUUUUUCUCAAUGAGACUUCUUGGCACAAUUUUGCUGCUCAGCAACCUACCUUUCCAUGGAAAAUCAGUUGUGACUGAUAGUAAUGGAUAUAUUCUAGAAAGCUAAACAUAGAUAGCAUUCAAUAUUAUCGAUAUAACAUUAACAGCGUAUGUCUCAAUGCUCAUCAGCUACAAGCAAUGGACAAACACUUUGAGUAACUCACAGCAGUCAAAAUUCCUAAACAGGACAGACGUGACAGAUCUAUAUAUAGAACACUGCAUAUGAGUCACAGGAAAAGAUAAUACGGGUACAUAGAAGCUCUUAUUUUACAUAUUACUCAUACUGAUCAAAGUCGCUCAGUUGGGAUGGAUGGGAGAAGGAGGUUUGAGGGGUGGCUUGUGCGGGGAAGUUGGCAGCUUCUUUCCGGGAGCUGGUUGCUUCUUUGCUGGAGUUGAAGGAGGCUUAAUCUUCCGAGGUGGCUUGUAUGAGUCUUCAGCAUUCUCAGCAGGAGGGUGACCAGGGUUGUGACCAUAAUGUGGUGGCUUCUCUCCCUUAGGUGGUUUGCCAACUGGGGUUGGUGGCUUGUUUUCUGGGAGUGGCUUCUCUCCCUUGGGUGGUUUGCCAACUGGGGUUGGUGGCUUGUGUUCUGGGAGUGGCUUCUCCCCCUUGGGAGGUUUUUCGAAUGGGGUGGGUUUGUGUCCUGGUGGUGGCUUCUCUCCCUUGGGAGGUUUACCAAUUGGGGUCGGUGGCUUGUGUUCUGGGAGGGGCUUCUCUCCCUGGGGAGGUUUAGUGGGUGGCUUGUGUUCUGGAGGUGGCUUCUCCACCGGAGGCUUAUGCUCUGGUGGUGGCUUCUCGAAGGGGGGAUGCUCAGGGUAAUCACCAAGUGAGGGGGUGGUGAGAACCACCAUGCCAAGCAACAACACUAGCAAGUAUGUAGUAGACAUCUUUGGGUUUGGACUCAGACAGUGCAAAACUACGAGAAAUCGCUAGCCCUUUAUAGCGGCUCGGACCUAAUACUGACAUAAUAUAAAAUAAAUAUUAUAUUUUAUCAAGAGAGAACAGAGUGUAAUUUUAUCAUUAAUACCGAUCGAGGCCAAAGAAAGAAGACCCAUAAUCCAUUUCCCACAAGCAUACACAAUGCAGCUGUAAUUUUAUCAUUUACUUUUAUCCCUUGGACCACUGCAUUUUUGUUGAGAGACACAAUAACACAUUUUUAUCUGUCAUUCAACAUUUACAGUAAAGAGAGGGCACAAAACGCAAUUAGAUAAAUUAUGUUUUGCCUGCUAAAAAGAGGCAAAUAACUUUAUUUGCAACAUAAUUAUUUUGGUUUCUAGUGACCCCGGGGCCUUUCGGUUGGUUUGGGAUCGGAAAAUGAACAUCAUAGGGGGGGUUGUGCCCUUAUGGGCAUAUAUAUCUGAUAGCUUCAACUGGCCUUGUUCCUAGAAAGAAAUUGCCAAAGAUAUAAACUUAUUCCAGGCUGAAAGUAGAUGAGAGUCAUAAUGAACAUCAACCUUUGUUCAGUUUGAUUCAAUGCCCCCAUAGUGUUCAUUUCACAGAUCUGAAUGAUUAUAUCCGUUGAAUACAUAAAUUAAUGAAGACAAAUAUGAAACCCAAGAUACAUCUCUGCAUAACAACCCCAACCCUGGUUGCUAUGUUUCCCUUCUUCUAUUCACAUGAGGAUACUGGUUAUAAUUGUCAAACUUGCAACAAGCCCUUUGACACCUAACGUCAAUGGACGAAUUAAAAGUCUCCUUCAAACGUCUAUUUCACAGCAUGAAGCUUAUAAAGGAUGCUGACAACCUUCAGAGUUAGCGACAAAAGAUAAUUAUCAAGGAGAGAUAGUUCCAUGAGAAUUCCAAGGAGUCUGAAUCAAAGACAAAUUGCUCACUCAAGGGUUCUUAUUUUCUUUUAGGUACAAAUCUCUUGAGUGUUGUUAAAGAAACACGUCACUGUCAUUUUGAUUUGCAUUUAACAUUUCACUUUUGUUCUGGAAGGUUUGUUCCGGAAACAUAUCAAAUGAGCAUCAUUUUCUUCUUCGGUGACACAUGGUCGCGAGUACGUGGGUCCAUUUUCAUGCCACUUAGUUGAAAAGUUGGAAAGAAAAAACAUGCCAACAAGAAGAUAGUGAGAGAAGGGGCACUUCAAGCCUUUAACAUGAACAAACAGUAAAUAAAAGAUGUUUCUCCACUCAUAAAAGUGUGUUAGAUAGCAAUAUAACGAAUCACAUCCAAAAUCUUUACUAGGCUCAAACAUAAAGAAGACUCAUUUUUAAGAAAAGAUAAAAAUGGCAUUGUCUGAUAGUAUCCAAUACACGAGAUGGCACUUAAUUUGUACAAGAUCUGUCAAUGCUGACGCACAUUUUCUGAUUAAAAAAAAACUGAUCAGUCAAAAGCAAUGAAGAGAAGUGAUGACAAUGAAUGAUGCUUCCAAUAUUUUCACCCCUUAUAGUGUUCUUCAUGAUUCAGAUAUAUAAUUGGAAAUAGAACAACCCUAUGCCAUACAUUCGUCUAAGUAUGGUGUCUAAUUUUUUGUGUCAGCGGUUGCGAAUGGAGCGUGCAAAAGUCCAAAUUGGCGUCUCUCCAUUUCCACAUAGGAAGGUGACCUUUAUUGACAAAUACCCAAUAUUUGUAGACAUUCCUUAAAUAUCAUAACUUCUUGUUGAUUUGAAAAUCAUUUUUCAACUACCAUGUUUUAAUAAAUAUUUUUUAAAAUGUAUUUUUAUCAAAGUCCACCAUGAUGGAUAAUAUUCACCAUGCAAUAAUUAAUAAAGUACAAACUAAGCGAAAUGAAAAGCAUUUUCUUUGCUUUGAGUUGAUUUUGGUUGCAUUGAGUUGAUUUUGGUUUCAUGGUUUUUUCAACUCUUAUUUUGAUUGGAAGAUGUCAAGAAAAGAAAACAUAAAGAAAAAUUAAAAGGGAAAAAAGAAGAAAAAUAAAAAAAAAUAGAUUUAAAAGUUAAUAAAUUAUUUUUUAUAUUUAUUUUAAUUCAUUUCACUUAUUUUUCUUUUACUAUAUAAAAUUUAAAUAAUUUAAAUUUUAUAAUUAAUUUAAUUACAUUUCAUUUUCUUCUAUAUUUAAAUAUUGGAAAAAUAUUUUACUUAAUAUUUUUUUCUUUAAUUUCUUUGGCAUUUUGGGAACCAAACUUAGCCUUUAAAAUAAAAAACAAAAAAAAAAUGAAAAUAAGGAGGGAAAAGUGAGAAAAGAUAAAAACAAUAUGUAAAGGAUUUGAAAAGUAUUAGUUUGUAAUUACUAUUUGGAUUUCAAUAGUAUUUUAUUUGUCUUUCUAUAUUUCAUGUAAGAGAGAAUUUAAGAUAUUCCCCAAGGCAAAGCAUUAGUUACCUGCAAUCAGUGGUGAUAAGGCUCCAAGCCAAUUUUGGGCCCCAUAUCUUAAGACAGUACAAUUUCCAUUUCAACAUUUCUGAUUUCUCAGAUGUUUCACAUACCACAGAAGAACAUUGUUUGUGAAAAUAUGCAUUUAUGUUGGAUUUUGUAUGCUGUGGGGACUGGGGCAAGGAUCAUAUGGAAGAGUGGUUGACUUUUUCUGUACUUUAACGGUUGAAAUAGGAUAAGCACGGGCAUUUGUGAGGCUUAAUUGAUUUUGAAGCCUGAAAUUGCGUUUCUGUCAUUUUGUCAAAAAAAUGGCAGAUUCCAUACUCAUAUGUUUGGCCUGUGGCCAUGUACAGAUGCCAUUUAGUGACCAGUUUGUAACUGUCAAUCGUUGCGUUUUGACUCUGCCUCAACAACAUCUGCCAUUGACGGGUUUUCAUACUUGCAAAUCAAAUAGUCUUUCGUCCCAUCAGGAAUUUCGGUUUAAAUAUUAUUAAGCAUACGUUUGGCUGACAAUCAUUAUCCAGUUCAUGAUUUGGUUUCUUACCCUUAAUCAAUGGUUUCUAAGUGAAUAUAUGUAGAAGGAAAUCCGAAGUGUAGACAGUAGUAUCGAUAACUCUCAAUAUUCUCUAUAUAAUAGAAUAAACAGCGUCAUAGUGAUCGUCGCCUACAAGCAAGGUACAAAUACCAAAACGAGUGACUCACAUAGACAUCUCCCAACAAGAUGUAGUAGUGACUGACACAUGGACACAAUUAACUCGUAGAAAAGGAUAAGACCAUUGCACAGCAGCUCUUAUUUUACAUACUACUUAUGCUAACCAAAGUCAAUUAGUUGGGAUGGGUGGGAGAUGGAGGUUUGUGCGGUGGCUUGUGGGGCGGAGUUGAUGGCUUCUUUCCAGGAGCUUCUGGCUUUUUCAUCGGAGCUGAAGGAGGCUCAAUCUUAUGAGGCGGCUUGUAUGAGUCUUCUUUACUCUCGACAGGAGGGUGGCCAGGGUUGUGAUCAUAAUGUGGUGGCUUCUCUCCCUUAGGUGGCUUGCCAACUGGGGUUGGUGGCUUGUGUUCAGGAAGUGGUUUCUCUCCCAUGGGAGGUUUAGCAAUUGGGGUUGGUGGCUUGUGUUCUGGGAGUGGCUUCUCUCCCUUGGGAGGUUUAGUAGGUGACUUGUGUUCUGGAGGUGGCUUCUCCACCGGAGGCUUGUGCUCCGGUGGUGGCUUCUUGGUUGGAGGGGGCUUGGGGUAAUCAGCAAGAGAUGGGGUGGUGAGAACCACCAGUCCAAGGAACAACACUAGCAAGUAUGUGGGAGACAUUUUUGAGUUUGGGCUGAUCAGAUGAUGCAAAACUAAAGCAUUACGUGACCUUUUAUAGCAUGUAGCUCCCAAUACCCACUAAGUAUUGUGGGGUCCAUUUGUGCCCUACGGGGUUGAAAACUUAGACAAUUGGGCAAGGACCCACCUGACUAUGGAGGACUAGUGAGGUGUGAUCAUAGCUUUAGGAUUUUUCUUCCUCUGCAGCCGUCGUGCCGUUGGCAUGAUUUUCUUAAUCUUAAAUAAAGGCAUAGUUAUAGAGUUGUUUAAUCUCUAAAUGGGAUUUUAUAUAUAUCUUCAGAUAGCCAUUAAUAUAUUUGAUGAAGAAAGAAAGACAAGUGCAUACAACAUGUAUACGACUAGCUUUCAUGGAGUUCAUUUAUGAUCAGUUUUCCUGUACAUGUAAACCAGGAUCAUAUAUAUGUUUCUGUUCCACAACUAUUUUGGAAUCUUGUUUAUCAGUUUUUAUCAUUAUAAUGUCACAUAGGCUGCCAACUUGGGCGCUAAAAGAACCAGUUGGGCUAGUUCGUUUCAGAAUUUCAAUGUGGAUUCAGGAAUUGUUUUGUAAGAUAUGCGAAAUAGUAGAGGGAUGAAUAGUGUUUCAUUAAUAAAAGUGUCCUGUAAAUUAGAAGGUGUCAUAGAAACUAUAAUCAAUAAAUAACUUUUUUUCCCCACGGGUGGUGUUUCUUGUGGGGAUCAGUGACUGGUUUAGGUUCACCCAAAAUGAGUUCAGACUAAAAUUGGUUUGAGUCAAUGCCGUGUCUCUUUUUUCCAGAAAUCAACUAUUUUAUGCAUUGAAUAAAUCAUACAAAGAAAAUAUGAACGCCCGCAAAACCUAAACCCUGGUUGCUAACUUUCUAUGUUUCAGUUCUAUUCACGCAAGAAUAUUAGUUUAAGUUUGGGAAAAAUGGCAACUUACCUAGUGAUUACUUGGUUUUGGUUUGCGACUAUUUACGCAACCAACCAUGAGUUUGACUUUAACGUCAUGGGUUGAAGCCUCCUACAGGAAGGGAGAAAGCUCCACAGCUAGCUCCAAAAGAGAAUUAUCACAUUGAUAGCUCCAGAGAUUCCCAAGGGGACUGAAUCAAAGACAAGUUCCUCACUUUUUCUUCUUUUGAGGCCAAAUAUGAACCAAGGAUCACACAACCUCAUUCAACUUCAUAAGUUUGAUUUCAUGCAGUUGAACACUGGGUGAAGGCCAUGACAAGAAUUGAUUCAAAAAUUCUAUCACUCUUUUAAGUAAUGGAAGAUUAUUAUCUCUGAUUGGCAUCACAACAGCACAUGCUCCUAGAUCUUUCUAGACACUCCAUGCAAUGAAAGCACAAUGGAUCUUGUAACGAUAGAAACUAAGCCAUGCUACAGUACUAGAUGAUGAGGUAAAACUAGUAGACACGGGUGGCAGCCUAUAUGGGAGGGACACAAGUCUAAUUGAUUUGCAUUUCAGCAUUAUAGAUAGGUAUGUUUUGGAAGAUUUGUUCUGGAAAUACCGCACCAAGUAGGAUUCUUUUUCUCUUUAGUGGGUCCACUUGCAUGCCAAUUAACGAGUUGAAAAGUAUGAGCACCUACCUCGUGCUCGUGGAACCGAAGGUCAGUGAAGUGGGGCUCCUUUUGGCCUCGUGUAAACUUGAUUCAGAAGUGAAGUUAAUAGUCUUCCAUUCAGAUGGAUACAUGGGAAUUUUUCUCUUUUAUUUAUUUAUUUAUUUUUUUUUUGUGUGUGUAUGUCAAAGGAUAAUGAAUGAAGCGCGUUAGCUUGUUUUCUGACUGGAACCGCAGAUGUCCAAAUUGGAGUUCCUUCAUUUCUUACUUAGGAUUGUUACAUGUAUAAACAAGGUAUAAGAAAUAUGCCAACGUGUCUUGAGGAGUUAUUGAUUAGAAAUAACAAGUCACCCGACUGUAGAGUUCCAAGAUUUGAAUCUUCAGACCCUAUAGCAGCCUCUGGGGUACGUGGCAUCCUAUAGCAUAUUAAUGAAGGCUUUUUCGAUUUAGACUUCACAAUACCAAUUAAUAUGUAUGCACAAAAUGGAGAUGACCCCAAAAAAAACAGAAUCGCCAUAGUUUAUGAGGUUAAGGUGAUUCUCCACUUAAUAUCUACAUUAGCUAAUUAUGUAAAUCAAAUGAACUUCUAUUUUUCCUUUUUUUUUUUGGUUUAUGUCAAAUAGUAGCCCAUAAUUAACCCAACCAUUAGCCUGUUUGAAUUGAUUUCACAUGCACAAUGUUGUAGUAGUUCAUAUUUUGAAUUUUAUUUUUACAAAGGUAGUUAAGGAAAAUGAAGUAUAAUAAUUAUAAAAGCAGACUAUAUACACUACAAUAAUUGUUAGAAUGGUAUCUCAAAUUCUAAUUUAAAAUAUUAUUUUUUGUAAAAGAAAUAUUAUAUAGAAUAUUUCCUAAUUUUAUAAAUGAUUAUAAUUAGAUCUUUAUAAAAUAAGGAAAGUUGGUAAGAAUAUCUUUAUAAAUAUUUUAGGUCAUGAGAGAAAGAAAUGGGAUAAAAAUGUGAUGAAGAGGUGAAAUAAGAGAGUUGAUUAGGAUAUAGAUGUGAAGAAGAAAGGGAUUCAAUAUAUAUAUAUCUUUCAAUUACCACAUUAAAACCCUGUGAACCUUUUAUAUGGUUUACUUUAUUUUUAUAUUCCUCCUUUAAUAUAUUUACAUUAAUGCUUCCAUUGGCACAACAAUAACGAAUUACAAAUACAAGCAACAAGUCCCAUGUUUUAUUACCAAAAGCAGGUAAAAUCCACCUAAUAUAUUACAAUAUAUUCAUCCAAUAUUUUAGACCAAUUCUUCACCAUAAAUAUCAUAAUGUGGCUUUUGUUCUUUCUUAAAUUUAAAUUGAAUUGUCUUAUAUCAAUUUGUUUGUGAUUUUUUCAUUAACUUCACUUUCAUUUGGUUAUCUUUGGUUUUUGAAAAGUAUUAAGGAAUUAAUUAACAAAAUAAUGUUAAGAAAAAUAAUUUUCUCUCUUUUGAUUUUGAUUUUGUAGUAGAAAAAUAUAAUUAAAAUUAUUUAAAAAGUAUGUAAUUUUAAAUUAUUUAAUAUUUAGAUAAAAAAAAUAAGUCUAAUGAGUUUAAAAUAACAUAUAAAAAUAAUUUAUUUAUUUUAAAUUUAUUUUUUAUUUUCCAUUAUGUUCUCUUUCUCUUUUACUUUUUCAUAUUUUUUCUUACGAAGAAUCAAACACAACCUCAUAUUAUAUGUCAAGUGUUUGUCUAUAUUUGAGCAAUGUUAGAUACGGCCAUGGAUUCAUCAAACUAAACUGAUUUUAAUAGAUACUUCACAAAUUGAUUUAUACACUAAAUCAUUGGAUAGCAAUGAUGCAUUGGAAUUAAACGUAGGAUGAAGCUCGAAGAACACUGUUUGUGUAACAACAUAUUUAUGAAAUUAUGCAAAGGAUGAGCUUCGGGGUAGUAGUACAAGGUCAUUAAUGGAGAGCCGUGUUAAACCUUGAUUGUGAUUGGAUUCCGUUAUCAGCAACAGCAACCUUGUUUGUAACCUUGAAAGUCAUUCUGUCCACAUCGAAACUCCAAUUUGACGUUUGUAAUUACCAUUCCUGGAGUGUUCCUUGAUUGAAAUUUAAAUAAUAAUUGCGGCCCACAAGGAAUAUUUUCGAUUCUGUGGGAAUUUGACAAGGUUUGUUAGAGAAGACUGGUGACAUGUUGACUUCAAUGGUUCAAAUAGGAGACGUAUGUGGAUUUGGGGGGUUUAAUUGAAACUGAGUCCCUAUGGCUUUUUAAUAUUUGCAUUGAGCAGUCUCCAUGUGACUUCCUAAUUCCCACCAACCCUCCUGUCCAUGCUGUGAAACUAAAUUGUAAUUUAUCAGCCUUUGUCAAUGGUUUCUAAAUUAAAGAUAUAGACCAUGCAUGUACUUUAAUAAAAGCAAAUCUAAAGUGUAGAUAGCAGCAAUGGUGACACCCAAUAUUCUCCAUAAAAUAGAAUUAGAAUAAGCAGUGUUACAUUGUUCAUGAUCACCUACAAGCAUACAAGAACUUCCAUGAAUAACUCAUAGCAAUUGCCAACAGGGCGUCGUAGAGACUCAUACAUAGAACACUAUCCACCCAGAGGAAAGGACAAGACCAGUGCGCUGCAGCUCUUAUUUUUCACAUGUAUACCACCACUCGUAAUAACCAAAUUCACUCAGUUGGGAUAGGUGGGAGAUGGUGGUUUGUGGGGUGGCUUGUGGGGAGGAGUUGGAGGAGGCUUUAUUUUCUGAGGCGGCUUGUAUGAGUGUGCAGGAGGAUGCCCGGGAGUGUGACCAUAAUGUGGUGGCUUCUCUCCCGUAGGUGGUUUGCCAAAUGGGCUUGGUGGCUUCUCUCCCUUAGGAGGUUUACCAAUUGGGGUUGGUGGCUUGUGUUCUGGGAGUGGUUUCUCUCCCUUGGUAGGUUUGCCAAUUGGGGUUGGCGGCUUAUGUUCUGGGAGUGGCUUCUCUCCCUUGGGAGGUUUGCUAAUUGGGGUUGGCGGCUUAUGUUCUGGGGGCGGCUUCUCUCCCUUGGGAGGUUUGCCAAUUGGAGUUGGCGGCUUAUGUUCUGGGAGUGGCUUUUCUCCCUUGGGAGGCUUGCCAAUUGGGGUUGGCGGCUUAUGUUCUGGGGGUGGCUUCUCUCCUUUAGGAGGUUUGCCAAUUGGAGUCGGCGGCUUAUGUUCUGGAAGUGGCUUUUUUCCCUUGGGAGGUUUGCCAAUUGGGGUUGGCGGCUUAUGUUCUGGGGGUGGCUUCUCUCCCUUGGGAGGUUUGCCAAUUGGAGUCGGCGGCUUAUGUUCUGGGAGUGGCUUCUCUCCCUUGGGAGGUUUUGUUGGUGGCUUGUGUUCUGGAGAUGGCUUCUCCCCUGGAGGCUUGUGCUCCGGAGGUGGCUUCUGAAAUGGCGGGGGCUUGGGGUAAUGAGCAAGAGAUGGAGUACUGGUGAGAACCACCAUUCCAAGCAACAAUACUAGCAA